GACGAACGCUGGCGGCGUGCUUAACACAUGCAAGUCGAACGGUGAAGCGCCUUCCUUUUGGUGGGUGUGGAUGAGUGGCGCACGGGUGAGUAACACGUGAGUAACCUGCCCCCUUCUUCUGGAUAACCGCAUGAAAGUGUGGCUAAUACGGGAUAUUCUGGGUCUGUCGCAUGAUGGGUCUGGGAAAGAUAUUGUUUCGGUGUGGGAUGGGCUCGCGGCCUAUCAGCUUGUUGGUGGGGUGAUGGCCUACCAAGGCGGUGACGGGUAGCCGGCCUGAGAGGGUGGACGGUCACACUGGGACUGAGACACGGCCCAGACUCCUACGGGAGGCAGCAGUGGGGAAUAUUGCACAAUGGGCGCAAGCCUGAUGCAGCGACGCCGCGUGAGGGAUGGAGGCCUUCGGGUUGUGAACCUCUUUCGCCAGUGAAGCAGGCCUGCCUCGUUUGUGGGUGGGUUGACGGUAGCUGGAUAAGAAGCGCCGGCUAACUACGUG
rnacentral:rRNA from 1 species